rnacentral:rRNA from 1 species
GAGUUUGAUCAUGGCUCAGGAUGAACGCUGGCGGUAUGCUUUAUACAUGCAAGUCGUACGAGAGUUUUUAACUCAAGUGGCGGACGGGUGAGUAACACGUAAGAAUUUGCCUUUAGGAGGGGGAUAACAACUGGAAACGGUUGCUAAUACCCCAUAUGCUUUUGAGUGAAAUGGAUUUUUCCGCCUAAAGAGAAGCUUGCGGCUGAUUAGCUUGUUGGUAAGGUAAUGGCUUACCAAGGCGACGAUCAGUAUCUGGUUUGAGAGGACGAUCAGACACACUGGAACUGAGACACGGUCCAGACUCCUACGGGAGGCAGCAGUAGGGAAUUUUCCGCAAUGGGCGAAAGCCUGACGGAGCAAUACCGCGUGAGGGAUGACGGCCUAUGGGUUGUAAACCUCUUUUUUCAGGGAGGAACAAAAUGACGUGUACCUGAAGAAUAAGCAUCGGCUAACUCCGUGCCAGCAGCCGCGGUAAGACGGAGGAUGCAAGUGUUAUCCCGGAAUCACUGGGCGUAAAGCGUCUGUAGGUGGUCAAAUAAGUCAACUGUUAAAUCUUGAGGCUCAACCUCAAAAUCGCAGUCGAA